rnacentral:rRNA from 1 species
CUGGCGGCGUGCCUAAUACAUGCAAGUUGAGCGCUGAAGGUUGGUACUUGUACCGACUGGAUGAGCAGCGAACGGGUGAGUAACGCGUGGGGAAUCUGCCUUUGAGCGGGGGACAACAUUUGGAAACGAAUGCUAAUACCGCAUAAAAACUUUAAACACAAGUUUUAAGUUUGAAAGAUGCAAUUGCAUCACUCAAAGAUGAUCCCGCGUUGGAUUAGCUUGUUGGUGGGGUAACGGCCCACCAAGGCGACGAUCCAUAGCCGACCUGAGAGGGUGACCGGCCACAUUGGGACUGAGACACGGCCCAAACUCCUACGGGAGGCAGCAGUGGGGAAUAUUGGGCAAUGGGCGAAAGCCUGACCCAGCGACGCCGCGUGAGGGAAGAAGGUCUUCGGAUUGUAAACCUCUUUCAGCAGGGAAGAAGCAAGUGACGGUACCUGCAGAAGAAGUCACGGCUAACUACGUG